CUACGGGCUGCUCCAGUGGGGAAUAUUGGACAAUGGGGGCAACCCUGAUCCAGCCAUGCCGCGUGUGUGAAGAAGGCCUUAGGGUUGUAAAGCACUUUCAGAUGUGAGGAAAGGUGUGUGCUUAAUACGUACAUACUGUGACGUUAGCAUCAGAAGAAGGACCGGCUAACUCCGUGCCAGCAGCCGCGGUAAUACGGAGGGUCCGAGCGUUAAUCGGAAUUACUGGGCGUAAAGCGCGCGUAGGUGGCUUCGUCAGUCAGAUGUGAAAGCCCCGGGCUCAACCUGGGAAUUGCACCUGAUACUGCGGAACUCGAGUACGAUAGAGGGGAGUGGAAUUUCCGGUGUAGCGGUGAAAUGCGUAGAGAUCGGAAGGAACACCAGUGGCGAAGGCGACUCCCUGGAUUGAUACUGACACUGAGGUGCGAAAGCGUGGGGAGCAAACAGGAUUAGAUACCCGUGUAGUC
rnacentral:rRNA from 1 species